AACGUAGGUACCGAGCGUUAUCCGGAUUUACUGGGCGUAAAGCGCGCGUAGGCGGCUUUGUAAGUCAGAGGUGAAAGCCUGGAGCUCAACUCCAGAACUGCCUUUGAGACUGCAUCGCUAGAAUCAUGGAGAGGUAAGUGGAAUUCCGAGUGUAGAGGUGAAAUUCGUAGAUAUUCGGAAGAACACCAGUGGCGAAGGCGACUUACUGGACAUGUAUUGACGCUGAGGUGCGAAAGCGUGGGGAGCAAACAGG
rnacentral:rRNA from 1 species